AGUGAACGCUGGCGGCAGGCCUAAUACAUGCAAGUCGGACGGCAGCACAGCAGAGCUUGCUCUGUGGGUGGCGAGUGGCGGACGGGUGAGGAAUACAUGGGAAUCUGCCCAGUCGUGGGGGAUAACGUAUGGAAACGUACGCUAAUACCGCAUGCGCCCUUAGGGGGAAAGCCGGGGACCUUCGGGCCUGGCGCGAUUGGAUGAGCCCAUGUUCGAUUAGCUAGUUGGCGGGGUAAAGGCCCACCAAGGCGACGAUCGAUAGCUGGUCUGAGAGGAUGAUCAGCCACACUGGGACUGAGACACGGCCCAGACUCCUACGGGAGGCAGCAGUAGGGAAUAUUGGACAAUGGGCGCAAGCCUGAUCCAGCCAUGCCGCGUGAGUGAAGAAGGCCCUCGGGUUGUAAAGCUCUUUUGUCCGGAAGAAAGCAAUCGGUUAAUACCCGGUUGU
rnacentral:rRNA from 1 species